rnacentral:rRNA from 1 species
CCAAGGCUACGACGGGUAGCUGGUCUAAGAGGAUGGCCAGCCACACUGGAACUGAGACACGGUCCAGACUCCUACGGGAGGCAGCAGUGGGGAAUCUUGCGCAAUGGGCGAAAGCCUGACGCAGCGACGCCGCGUGGGUGACGAAUGCCUUCGGGUUGUAAAGCCCUGUGGGGUAGAACGAACUGGCAUCGGGCUAAUAUCCCGGUGUCUUGACGGUACUGCCUUAGCAAGCAUCGGCUAACUCUGUGCCAGCAGCCGCGGUAAGACAGAGGAUGCGAACGUUGCUCGGAUUUACUGGGCGUAAAGCGCGUGUAGGCGGUCUCGUUAGUCGGGUGUGAAAGCCCCGGGCUCAACCCGGGAAGUGCACCCGAUACUAGCGAGACUGGGGUACUGAAGAGGAGAGCGGAAUUCCCGGUGUAGAGGUGAAAAUUCGUAGAUAUCGGGAG